rnacentral:rRNA from 1 species
UACAGAGGGUGCUAGCGUUGUUCGGAAUCAUUGGGCGUAAAGGGCGUGUAGGCGGUUUGUUAAGUCAUGUGUGAAAUCCCUCGGCUCAACCGGGGAACGACGCAUGAAACUGGCAAGCUAGAGUACCAAAGAGGGGGGUGGAAUUCCCGGUGUAGCGGUGAAAUUCGUAGAUAUUCGCAAGAACACCAGUGGCGAAGGCGGCUCACUGGCCCGAUACUGACGCUGAGGCACGAAAGCGUGGGGAGCAAACAGG